rnacentral:rRNA from 1 species
CCUACGGGUGGCAGCAGUCGGGAAUAUUGCACAAUGGAGGAAACUCUGAUGCAGUGAUGCCGCGUAAAGGAUGAAGGUCUUCGGAUUGUAAACUUUUGUCGACAGGGAAGAAAAAAAUGACAGUACCUGUGGAGGAAGCCACGGCUAACUACGUGCCAGCAGCCGCGGUGAUACGUAGGUGGCGAGCGUUAUCCGGAUUUAUUGGGUGUAAAGGGUGCGUAGAUGGGAAAUUAAGUUAGAGGUGAAAUACCGAGGCUCAACUUCGGAACUGCCUCUAAAACUGAUUUUCUUGAGUGCAGGAGGGGAAAGCGGAAUUCCUAGUGUAGCAGUGAAAUGCGUAGAUAGUAGGAGGAACACCAGUGGCGAAGGCGGCUUUCUGGACUGUAACUGACAUUGAGGCACGAAAGCGUGGGGAGCAAACAGGAUUAGAUACCCCUGUAGUC